CAAAAAGAUGAAAGGCAGGGGCGCGGCCCAUGGUCCUCGUCUCGUCCGCGUGUCCGAGCUGGAAAAGGCCACGCUGCGUGCAGGGCCGCAUGCACGCUUAAGAGAGUUGUUGGUGAAGGUUGUGUGAGGGAUGCAGUUGUAUGGCUUAGAGCAAGACAGCUAAUAUCUCUCUGGUCAUCACAUUCCUCAUCUGUGAAAUAGCAAUCAUGAUGACGAUCUAAGGUGAUGUGAGGAUGACAUAGAAUACGAUCACGAUUUUUCCACUUGCUACAUAAUGUGAAAUUGACUCUCUCUGUGGUAAACCUUGUAGAGAGCUUGAUUUCUUCUCAGUGGCUCAAUUCUCUGGUGUUUCUGAGCAACAGCCCCUUCAUGCCCAUCUCAGAACAAACACAAUCUGCAUUCAGAACAGGACCCUUUACAAGUUGAAUGGAGUUAUUUUGGAGAACUUUUUUUAGCAACAAUAGAAGUGAUCACUCUUCUACAACCUGGUAUAAAUUUGUUGAGGUUCACAUCUCAUGAGUGAGGAGAAACCUGGAAUCAAGAUGGAGACAGUCUUAAACAUGUAAUGAUGCAGUGAUAUGGAUAUUCCCCAUUCUAACAAAGUUAAGACCCUCAAAGACAAAAAAUAUUUUUUGCAUGUACCUGUCGAGUUUUUCCAGCACCAUUUAUUAAAGAGACUGUCUUUACC